AGAUUGAACGCUGGCGGCAUGCCUAACACAUGCAAGUCGAACGGUAACAGGCCCGCAAGGGUGCUGACGAGUGGCGGACGGGUGAGGAAUACAUAGGAAUCUGCCCUAUUGGUGGGGGAUAACGUAGGGAAACUUACGCUAAUACCGCAUAAGACCGGAAGGUGAAAGUGGGGGACCGCAAGGCCU
rnacentral:rRNA from 1 species